rnacentral:rRNA from 1 species
GACGAACGCUGGCGGCGUGCCUAAUACAUGCAAGUCGAACGCAUUUUCUUUCACCGUAGCUUGCUACACCGAAAGAAAAUGAGUGGCGAACGGGUGAGUAACACGUGGGUAACCUGCCCAUCAGCGGGGGAUAACACUUGGAAACAGGUGCUAAUACCGCAUAAUUCCAUUUACUGCAUGGUAGAUGGAUGAAAGGCGCUUUUGCGUCACUGAUGGAUGGACCCGCGGUGCAUUAGCUAGUUGGUGGGGUAACGGCCUACCAAGGCAGCGAUGCAUAGCCGACCUGAGAGGGUGAUCGGCCACACUGGGACUGAGACACGGCCCAGACUCCUACGGGAGGCAGCAGUAGGGAAUCUUCGGCAAUGGACGCAAGUCUGACCGAGCAACGCCGCGUGAGUGAAGAAGGUUUUCGGAUCGUAAAACUCUGUUGUUAGAAAAGAACAAGGAUGAGAGUGGAAAGUUCAUCCCUUGACGGUAUCUAACCAGAAAGCCACGGCUAACUACGUG